UCUAUUUUGAAUAUUUCUCAAUUUUUUUUAAGCAACGGCUUCAUCUUCUUCCUCCUCUUCUCACAUCCUUAAUAUGUGUAUUGAUUUAUAUAUAAGAUUUGUGUUUAUAGUUUAUAAUGUUUGUUUUGAGUAGAUACUGAUGGAGCCAAAGUAGUGCACAAAAGGACAAGAAAAAUUGAAGGUCCUAGAAAAAGUAUGGAAGACUCUGUUCAACGCAAGAUGGAGCAAUUUUACGAAGGAUCGGAUGGACCACCCCUUCGAGUUCUUCCUAUUGGUGGGUUGGGUGAAAUUGGAAUGAAUUGUAUGCUUGUUGGGAACCAUGAUCGUUAUAUCCUCAUUGAUGCCGGUGUCAUGUUUCCAGGGUACAACCCCUCCAUGGAUCAGCUGCUCGACCCGCCGUCAACAACCUGCUCAACGGACUGCUAGCUGGUCAUCUACCUGUUCUGAUCAACACGAUGAUGAGCUUGGGGUCCAAAAGAUAAUACCUGAUACGAUACGACAUUUAUUAAAAAAUGGAGCCACAAAAUUGAAACAGUAGUUAUAACGCAUGGUCACGAAGAUCAUAUUGGUGCAUUGCCUUGGGUAAUGCUUCCUACUCCAAGGAAAUAUAUUUGUUCAUCAACUAUAUCUCUCUCACUUGUUCCAUUAGAUUUGUUCAAGUGUUUGUCAUGGGAUUCAUCGACCAUUGUUUGAUGCAUUUUGCCAUAAGAAUCUGAAACUGCACUUAAACAAGCACUCUUAGCUUCAUAAAUGAGUCAGUAUUUGGUGCCAUAUCUGCUAUGAUAAUUUUAAGGCAAUGCAAAGCUUCAAGGAAGAUAUACAACUAUGAUCGAAUAUGUUAGGUCUCUAAUUUUAUGGAUAAAUUUACUGGUUAUUCAUAAUGUACGCUUUUACAAACUAUAUCAUAUAUCUAUGGUAAUGGCUGUGUUGUGUGAAUUCCCUUUUUCUAUGUGUGACUGCUGUCCUUGCUUGUCGAAGUGUGAUAUUUUUAAAAUAUUUUGCUUACCAAGCUGCAGUCUCAGUGUCUUACAUACCCGGAAAAUGUGUGGGGUUAAGCCUUGUAAGACAAAGAGAAACUCAAAACAACCAUACAUACAUUUUUUUCAUGGAAUAUUGUGGUGGAUUAGGCCAUUAGAUGUUCACAUAAUUCACAUUGAUACCAGUUAGAUAUGCUCUCAAUUGUCUGAUGAAAUUCAAGUGUGCUAUAACAUGUACCUGAUCUCACAAUUAUUUUUCAUGGAAUAUUGUGGUGGAUUAGGCCAUUAGAUGUUCACAUAAUUCACAUUGAGUAUUUGAGUGUAUUGGAUUUGAUCGUUUGAGUAGCUAACUCAUAUUAUCUUCAUAGGUUUGAAGUUUGUUAUAGCUUGAACAUCCACUAAAAUCUGUGUUGGUUCCUUCUCAUUUUCCACUCUGCCUGGUUAUCAUAACACAUGUAGAAUUUAUGUUGCCUUUUUCUUAAAUUUUGUCAAAAGGAUAUAAGCAAACAAUAUUUAAACAGUAUUUUGGAAUUGCUUUGCAGAUGAUGCUUGGAUUUGCUUGUUGUUGAUUCCACUCCACGACUUGACCUACUUCAGGUCACAUGUAAAUGAUUCCAAGUGUUGUCCCAAUCCCAAGAUUCCCUUUCCUUUUACAACAUAUGUGCCAAUAAUUAUUUAUCUAAUUUUUCAAAUAUAUAAAAAAAUUUCCUCCAAAUUGUUUUGAUUUGAUAUUUGUUGGAUUUGUUUCUUGUUUCCACCGUUGAUCACACAAAUAGUAAUUACAGUUGUAUAUUCUUGUUUUCCACCUUGGAUUUAAUGUCACAGUCUCACAGAUAAAAAAUAUUAUGAUAGAUUUGUGUUUCAUAAGACAUGAUAGGAUUGGCAAUACAACAUUAGGGAGAAAAUUUGGAUAGCCUCCCUUGUAAUCAUGUCUUAACUAGAUGGAGAAUAGUCCAGUAGUUAAAUGGAGACCAAGGGAAACUUUAGGCUAAACCAAGAGAGAUUUAGUAAAUGCUUUAUCUUUGGAAGUCUCAUUAUUUCUAAUUUUAAAUAGGUGAAAGUAGAGGAUAUUGAUACUUAUGCGCCUAAGGAUUUGCUGAUUGUGACAACGGGUUCUCAAGUAAGUUAUUUUCAAGGUCCUCAAAGACCGUCUAUUUCCAUUUCCAUCUACUACGAACAAGGAACAAAUUUAUGGCAUAUGCACCAAAUAUUUGCUAUUGUGUCGGGCAGAACCACGUGCUGCCUUGAAUCUUGCAUCUUACGGAAGUAGUCAUGCUUUCAAACUGACAAAGGACGAUUUUGUGCUGUAUUCAGCUAAGGUUAUUAAGAAUGGAGAAAUGCUAGGUGUUUCACAUUUGAGAAAUAGAGAAGUCCUUUCUAAUGGUUUUAUUUCCCUUGGAAAAGAGAAUUUGGAGUUCAAGUAUAUAUAGUGAUGGUGACAAAGCUUUUGGUACAUCAAGUGAACUCUUCAUUGAUGAAAGAUUGAGAAGUGCAUUAGACGGCAUCAUUGUGGUCAGCAUGGAAAUAAGUCACCCUCAAAGUUUAGACAGUUCCGUUGAAAACACCUUAAAAGCAAAGAUAAGAAUUACCACAAGAUGCCUAUGGCUUGACAAAGGGAAGCUGUUUGGACGCACUCCAUAAAGCUGCUCUUUCAAGUUGCCCUGUAAACUGACUGGCUCACAUGGAAGAAACCGUGUCUGCGAUGUUGAAGAAAAUGGUGAGGAAGUAUAGUGGCAAACGGCCUGAAGUUAUUGCCGUUGCUAUAGAAAAUGUGGUGCAUCCAGGGGCAAAAUUUGCCGAAAUUUAUAGAGGUGGUUCAAAUAUAAAGAAAAAAUAGAUUUUUUAUUUUUUUUUAUAUAUUUUGUCUUGACAAUUUUUUGUUUGCAAUUUUAUAGCUCCAUUGAUAUAACUUUUUGUGAUAACUCAAUAAUAUAUUGAGAAUGAUCCCUAAGUAUAGUGCUAAUACAAUGGGUUAAAGAUUUCCAGUUUCAUG